CUCCCGUCAGGGUUCCGGCACUGAUUGUGCUCCCCGACGCCUUUGCCCGGGUGACGCUCCGCGAAGCCGCCCACCUCACUCCAGUUCAUGCACCGUGCGCCGGACUCGGUGACGUCGAUCGCGCCCCGGAAUGACACCUUUGCUCAACCGUGGGAAUUUAUGAUGAUACUCUGAGCUGAUCCCUUUGCACCAAAGCUAUCGCUGAAAAUGCUGGGCCAUAUGCUGAGCUUCAUCCCAAGUUCCUGUGGAUGAUCAUGGAGAUGAAGAUAACUCCUUUGCAGCGAAGCUUGUUCACCUUGCAGUAAUGCAACACCCGCGAGUCAAACUUAUUUUAGGAGUGCGACAAAGAAAGAUUAUGCUUCCAGCAGCAGCUCCCAUUCCAGUCACCAAUGCAAACAAGAAUGAAAAUGAAAAAAAAAUGACAGCUUUUGUCUUCUCCAUGUCUCAUUACAGCAAUUUCAACAAUGUAUUUUUAUAGUAAUACUUAUAUGCUAAAUUCUACAGGUUGUGUUUCGAGCAGAAAUAGAUACUGGUUUCAAGGAAAAUGGCAAGAAUAACACCAAAAUGUUGGUCAUACAUUUUUGGAUUCUAUGUGCAAAGCAAGCAAACCAAAGCGAAGCAAAUGUACUCAUAUAGCACACUUCAUUCACAAGGUAACGUAAUGUGUUUUACAUGAUUAAAUGAAUUUGAAUACA